rnacentral:rRNA from 1 species
GACGAACGCUGGCGGCGUGCCUAAUACAUGCAAGUUGAGCGCUGAAGGUUGGUACUUGUACCAACUGGAUGAGCAGCGAACGGGUGAGUAACGCGUGGGGAAUCUGCCUUUGAGCGGGGGACAACAUUUGGAAACGAAUGCUAAUACCGCAUAAAAACUUUAAACACAAGUUUUAAGUUUGAAAGAUGCAAUUGCAUCACUCAAAGAUGAUCCCGCGUUGUAUUAGCUAGUUGGUGAGGUAAAGGCUCACCAAGGCGAUGAUACAUAGCCGACCUGAGAGGGUGAUCGGCCACAUUGGGACUGGGACACGGCCCAAACUCCUACGAGAGGCAGCAGUAGGGAAGCUUCGGCAAUGGACGAAAGUCUGACCGAGCAACGCCGCGUGAGUGAAGAAGGUUUUCGGAUCGUAAAACUCUGUUGGUAGAGAAGAACGUUGGUGAGAGUGGAAAGCUCAUCAAGUGACGGUAACUACACAGAAAGGGACGGCUAACUACGUG